GAGUAUCUUGCAUUGUAUUGCUUUAUUGUUGUCAUAUUAUCCUCAUUAUUCUCCUUCAAAGUACGUAGUAUGUUACUUGGUUUAACCAUGCUUUUAGUCAUAUCAACAAGCAUGGAAUAUUCAUUCGCUUUUAAUCUGCCUGCAUAUGAAUGACCAACUAAUGUAUCAUACAAAUCAUGAUUAUGAGUAUCACAUAUUACCUUAAGUACCCAACCUUGACCCUUUCCAAUAGGUUUACCUCGCAAUUUAAAGGAACAUUGACAUUUUCGAGUACCGGUUACAGUAACCUCCAAACCAUCCUUGUACUUUCUGUAACUACC
rnacentral:lncRNA from 1 species